rnacentral:rRNA from 1 species
UACGAAGGGGGCUAGCGUUGUUCGGAAUUACUGGGCGUAAAGCGUGCGCAGGCGGCUUCUCAAGUCAGGGGUGAAAGCCCAGAGCUCAACUCUGGAAUUGCCUUUGAGACUGAGUGGCUUGAGUACGAGAGAGGUGAGUGGAAUUCCCAGUGUAGAGGUGAAAUUCGUAGAUAUUGGGAAGAAACACCGGUGGCGAAGGCGGGCUCUCUGGGACGGUACUGACGCUGAGACGGCGGAAAAGCGUGGGGAGCGAACAGG